AACGAACGCUGGCGGCAUGCCUAACACAUGCAAGUCGAACGAGACCUUCGGGGUCUAGUGGCGCACGGGUGCGUAACGCGUGGGAACCUGCCUUUAGGUUCGGAAUAACUCAGAGAAAUUUGAGCUAAUACCGGAUAAUGUCUUCGGACCAAAGAUUUAUCGCCUUUAGAUGGGCCCGCGUUGGAUUAGCUAGUUGGUGGGUAAAGGCCGUACCAAGGCGACGAUCCAUAGCUGGUCUGAGAGGAUGAUCAGCCACACUGGGACUGAGCCACGG
rnacentral:rRNA from 1 species